rnacentral:lncRNA from 1 species
GAAGAGAAAGUUGUUAGCUGAGAUAGUUAAAACGGAGAGCGUGACAACGGCAGGGGCAAUAAAGAGGGCGAGUGGUGUGGGAGGGAGGGGUCCGUUAGAACCGUCGAAGACUGGGAAGAGAGCAUAGUAUUAGUGCGUGAAGAGAGAGAAAGAAGGAAGUUGAAGUUUUUGAACAUUCAAAUAGUAAGAGAGAGAGAGGAGAGGGUUGGGAGGACUCCGCGCGGGCAAGAGCAGAGCCCCAUGCCCCUAUCGGAAGCCGAACCAAUCGUACACGUGUAGGUAUUUGUGUUGUCGCGUUUUCCG